GCUUCGGUCUCCUUCAUCUUAAAGCAACACAACUCUCAUCGUGAGACUAGUAUAAGCACAAACCUCGAUCACUUUAUUUCAUAUGGAAGCAAAGGAAUGUUCGUCUCCAAACCUAAAAUCGCGGCCUCUGGCUUCGCUCAUUGAAGAAAUCACUCGUAUCAUCUGAGGUAGAAAGAACAACAAAAAGCUCGAAAAGCAAAUUUUAAUAAAUUUUGUUGACAUAUAAUCUAAAUGGGCCACAUAAGAUAACUUAAAUAAGCCCAAUUUUGUAGUAACAUAACCCAAUAUGCUAGGCCCAUAGCCUCUCGACUGUUUCCCAGUUCUCUCUUCUCAGC